rnacentral:rRNA from 1 species
AUUGAACGCUGGCGGCAGGCCUAACACAUGCAAGUCGAGCGAGCGGCGUACGGGUGAGUAAUGUAUGGGGACUUCCCGAUAGCGCGGGAUAACUACUGGAAACGGUAGCUGAUACCGCAUACUAUCGGAUAACCCAUAUGGGAUUAGCUAGUAGGUGGGGUAAUGGCGCACCUAGGCGACGAUCCCUAGCUGGUCUGAGAGGAUGAUCAGCGAAACUGGGACUGAGACACGGCCCAGACUCCUACGGAGGCAGCGGGGGGGAAUAUUGCACAAUGGGCGAAAGCCUGAUGCAGCCAUGCCGCGUGGAUGAAGAAGGCCCUAGGGUUGUAAAGUACUUUCAGUCGGGAGGCGUUACCGACAGAAGAAGCACCGGCUAACUCCGUGCCAGCAGCCGCGGUAAUUC